CCUCUCUGAGAAGGUAACAUUUUUUUCUUUUUCAUAUGUAAUUGCAUCUAACUCCUUAAAAUUUUAUUGUAGUAAAAUAUACACAACAUAACAUAAUAAUAUCACUUUAACCAUUUGCAAGUGUACAGCUAAAUGAUAUUAAGUAUGUUCAUAUUGUUGUUCAAUCAUCACCAUCAUCCACCUCCAGAACUUUUUUGUCUUUCCCAAACUGAAGUUCUAUACCCAUUAAACCCCAGUUCCUCAGACCACCCCCCAGCCCCUGUAAACACCAUUCUGUUGUCUGUCUAUGUGCAUUUAGAUCUCCCAUAUAGACUUCUUGAGAUAUUCCAUAACCAUGGAAUCACUUUUUCAUGACUGCCUUAUUUCACUUAGCAUAAUGCCUGCAAAGUCCAUCCAUGGUACUGAAAUGGUGCCCCCUUUCUCCAGGAAAAGUCUUAACUGGGCUUCUCCAGAAAUCUUCACCAUAGCUGAUUUUAGUACUGUCAGCAAAAGAGUCUCUACAAUGUAGAUAAACUUCCUAUUUUUGUGUUGCCCUGUUUUACUUGGCCGCUAGCCUGGAAGAAAUCAGCACUAAGGGCUGGGGUUGUUGCUCAGCAGUAGGGUGCUUGCCUUGCACAUGCGAGACACUGGGUUUGAUCCUCAGCAUCACAUAAAAAUAAAUGAAUAAAGUAAAGGUAUUGUGUCCAAC
rnacentral:lncRNA from 1 species